CGCCAGCAGCGCAUCCGCACCCGGCUGCCCCUGGCCGAUGGCCCGCACGUCGAGGGUUUCGCCCACGUCGCAAGCAGAGUGGAGACAGCUUUCCUAACCUCCUUCGUUCAAAACCCACAGCCCACAUUUACCUUUCCCGAUCUCCCUGAACGGCAUCCUCUCCUCUCCAUGCCUUAGUGCAUUGUGCCGCAGCCUCGCCCGCACAGCCACCGUGCUCGCCGUCGCGCGAUGGAGCUUGGUUGGUCGCUGUCGUUCCGUGCCGAGGUGAGAACUCCAGUCUACCUUUUUUUCCCGUCCCUCUCUCCGUCCCCGUUGGUCGAGCGACCCCCUGGCCAACCCAGCCAGUCCCAGCGUCCAGUGCCCCGGCGAGCUCCACUCCCGGCUAACCAUGGCGCUCCCUGCCCAGCCCUUCCCUUGCCGAGCGAGCCACUGCAGUCGUGCCUCCCUGCAUGUCCUGUGUGUGCGGGCCGCCGCCGUUCUAAGCCGCACGCACGAGCCAGCUCCGGCAAGCCUUUCUUCCUCUCCCUUGACCGCGCUACCCUGGCCAGCUCCCCAGCGACAACCAGUCGAGUCCCCUGCGCAUGGCCAGCGUGGCCCAUCCCCAACCUUCGGCCAUCGCCCAAGUGCUCCCUGCGCAUGCGUCCGUCAAAAACAGCAGAGAGGAAAUCGCCUAGCCCCCACUUGCAUGCCGUUUUUCCAUGAUUCUUGUGAUUGAAGAAACCGCAUGAGAGCCCCACUCACAUACACAUGCACGCAUGUCACCAGCCACCACACUAGAGAAAUAAAAACCGUCUUAUCCUCCCUCGCAGAAAUCUCGUGGCCGCAUGCAAGCAUAAAAGGAGAAGAUUUGUGGUCCCACCUGCAUGUGCCAAAAAAAAACAAACUCUGUGACCCUUUGUAUUGCUCUUUUUUAAUAAAAUCGUGCCAUGUGGCUUAUAUUCCACAAGUUAUUUAACUUUGUCUUAAACUUGCUUCGAACCCGUAUCAGUUAUGUUAACUUUGCAAUAACGUCGCGUACGUGUAGUAACAUAGUUUGUCGUGACACGUCUUUUAAUUUAUUAAUUAGAUAAAUAGUAAUUAAAACUAAUUUAUAGUUUUAAUUUGUGUUUUUAUAAAAACAUGUUAAUGUGAUUUUGUACACUCUAUUGUUUAGAAUUAAUACUUGUUUAGUAUAAACCUCAUAUCUGUUAGUGAUUUCCGUAUGUCACACGUGUCGCGCAAUGUCGUGCGCGUUGUUUCACACGUCGUGGUGCUGUUUCACACGUGUCGUUCGCACUCGUUGUCGCGCGCUGUUCGCGUGUGUCACGCACCUUGCCGCGCGUAUCGCACCCUGUUCGCGUACGAUAUUAAAUUGUUCGCUUAUAAUCACUCAUGUCAAUUAAUUAGGUAUUUAUUUAAUCAUCCAAGUUUAAAAUAGUGAGUUAAUCAAAACUAAGUAGUUUUAUUUUAUAUUUCAUAAAUAGCAAUUAAUAUAGUUACAUCGAAUUAAAUAUUCUAACUAAUAUAGUUUUAAUUUAGCUCUCCCCGGGCAGAAAGGGAAUCAUGACUCAUGGGUAAAGUGUGCGACCUCUGCAGAGGGUAGUGAAACUGAUAUAUCAGCCGUGCUCACGGUUAUGAGCGGCCUUGGGAUCCUCUUUGAUUAGAGAUACAGAUGGUUCGAGAUACAAUGAUUCUUUUUAUUAUUUCGGUUCGAUCAUGAUAAUGAGGUUUCCUCGAUGAGGAAAUGGUUCACGGGUUGGUUAUAUGAUAAAACUUGGCUUCCACUAAUAAUAAAUACCUGACCAACUAAAAGCAAUCUGCUUUGACCUUCACCCCACAUAAAGCUAGUCCACUUCAGCCAAACAGGACAUUUGCUGAGUACGUUGAUGUGUACUCACCCUUGCUUUCACAAAACACCAGGUUGCCUUUGGUGCAAUCUAUGCUCAAGUAAAGAAGAAGGCGUCGAGGCGGAUCUCCAGGAGUUCCAGGACUUCGACGAGUUCGAGGAUUAGGCUAGCGAUCACCCCCAGUCAGCUGCCUGUGGUGGGUUUAUUUACGUUGGCUACGUUUCUAUUCUGUGUACUUUGAUUAUAUUAUGUAAAUGACUCUAGUCUUUAUAUUAUUACUUACUCUUUAUUGUUAUUCAAAGCAUUGUGCUAUGAUGAGUCAUUUAUGUAAUCGCCGUGUACGUGAAUUUCUGAUCCUGGCACGUACAUGGUUCGCAUUCGGUUUACCUUCCAAAACCGGGUGUGACAGGAACCAAGGGGCAUCUCGACCUCGACACGAGAGGUAAAUCCAUAGAUCAAAAGGUAUACCAGUCGAUGAUAG
rnacentral:lncRNA from 1 species